AUACGGAGGGUGCGAGCGUUACUCGGAGUCACUGGGCGUAAAGCGUCCGUAGGCGGUCGGGUAAGUCGGGUGUGAAAGCCCCGGGCUCAACCUGGGAAGUGCACCCGAUACUGCUCGACUCGAGUGCGGGAGAGGAUGGCGGAAUUCCCGGUGUAGCGGUGAAAUGCGUAGAGAUCGGGAGGAACACCAGUGGCGAAGGCGGCCAUCUGGCCCGCAACUGACGCUGAGGGACGAAAGCGUGGGGAGCAAACAGGAUUAGAUACCCCGGUAGUCC
rnacentral:rRNA from 1 species